rnacentral:rRNA from 1 species
UACGUAGGGUGCAAGCGUUGUCCGGAAUUAUUGGGCGUAAAGAGCUCGUAGGCGGUUUGUUGCGUCGGCUGUGAAAUCCCGAGGCUCAACCUCGGGUCUGCAGUCGAUACGAGCAAACUAGAGUGUUGCAGGGGAGACUGGAAUUCCUGGUGUAGCGGUGAAAUGCGCAGAUAUCAGGAGGAACACCGGGUGGCGAAGGCGGGGUCUCUGGGCCGAAUACUGACG